UUAGGAUUUUAAGUUAUAAAACUAGCAGCCUUCAAAGCUUCCAUAAAAAGUACAACCCUUUUAAAUCCUA
rnacentral:tRNA from 1 species